rnacentral:rRNA from 1 species
CCAGACUCCUACGGGAGGCAGCAGUGGGGGAUAUUGCACAAUGGGGGGAACCCUGAUGCAGCGACGCCGCGUGGGUGAAGAAGCGCCUCGGCGCGUAAAGCCCUGUCAGCAGGGAAGAAAAUGACGGUACCUGAAGAAGAAGCCCCGGCUAACUACGUGCCAGCAGCCGCGGUAAUACGUAGGGGGCAAGCGUUAUCCGGAUUCACUGGGUGUAAAGGGAGCGCAGGCGGUACGGCGAGUCUGAUGUGAAAACCCGGGGCCCAACCCCGGGACCGCACCGGAUACUGCCGGACUCGAGUGCCGGAGGGGCAGGCGGAAUUCCUGGUGUAGCGGUGAAAUGCGUAGAUAUCAGGAGGAACACCGGCGGCGAAGGCGGCCUGCUGGACUGAAACUGACGUUGAGGCUCGAAAGCGUGGGGAGCGAACAGGAUUAGAUACCCCCGUAC